rnacentral:rRNA from 1 species
AUGGCGGCGUCCGUGGCCUUCUCCCCCGCAUGCAGGCGGCUCCCCUGCAACCCCCUCUCCGCCUCCACCGGCGCACUGUCUCUCGUCCGCCUGGCGGGAUGCUCCAGGCGCCUCCGCCGCGCCUGUGCCACGGCGGAGCCGUCCGACGUGCUGCCGGGAUCCGGGGCCGGCGAGCUGGACGGGCUGGUGCCGGCAGGGCUGCUCGAGGAGCUGCCGGAGGGCCUCGCCUUCCAGGGCGCCCCUGACGGCAGCGGAGGCCACCCGAUGCUCGACCGCGGCAUCAACGCGGCCAUCGUGCUCGGCGCCAUCACCUUCGCGCUCACCAAGCUCCUCACCGUCGACCACGACUACUGGCAUGGGUGGACAAUCUUGGAGAUCCUGCGGUACAUGCCACAGCACAACUGGUCGGCGUACGAGGAGGCCCUCAAGGCCAACCCGGUUCUUGUCAAGAUGAUGAUCAGUGGCAUCGUCUAUUCCCUCGGCGACUGGAUAGCCCAGUGUUACGAAGGGAAGCCCAUCUUCGAGUUUGACCGUGCUCGCAUGUUCCGGUCUGGCCUCAUAGGGUUCGCCCUUCAGGGAUCCCUUUCGCACUACUACUACAAUUUCUGCGAGUCGGUGUUUCCGUGCAAGGAUUGGUGGGCUGUACCUGUCAAGGCUGCAUUUGAUCAGACAGCUUGGUCUGGGCUGUGGAACACCAUCUACUUCGUCGCCUUGGGAUUCCUUCGGUGGGAAUCUCCGUCCACCAUAUUCAGCGAGCUCAAGUCCACCUUCUUCCCCAUGCUUACUGCAGGAUGGAAGCUGUGGCCAUUUGCACACUUAAUUACAUAUGGUGUGGUUCCUGUCGAACAUAGACUUCUCUGGGUCGACUGUGUCGAGAUAAUCUGGGUCACCAUCUUGUCAACUUACUCAAACGAGAAAUCUGAAGCAAGGAUCUUAGACGAUUCCUCCACAACAGAUACGCGGGACAACUCCAGAUAG